GAUGAACGCUGGCGGCGUGCUUAACACAUGCAAGUCGAACGAAGCAUUUGCGACAGAUUUUUUCGGAAUGAAGUUGCUUAUGACUGAGUGGCGGACGGGUGAGUAACGCGUGGGUAACCUGCCUUGUACUGGGGGAUAGCAGCUGGAAACGGCUGGUAAUACCGCAUAAGCGCACAAUGUUGCAUGACAUGGUGUGAAAAACUCCGGUGGUAUAAGAUGGACCCGCGUCUGAUUAGCUAGUUGGUGAGAUAACAGCCCACCAAGGCGACGAUCAGUAGCCGACCUGAGAGGGUGACCGGCCACAUUGGGACUGAGACACGGCCCAGACUCCUACGGGAGGCAGCAGUGGGGAAUAUUGCACAAUGGAGGAAAUUCUGAUGCAGCGACGCCGCGUGAGUGAAGAAGUAAUUCGUUAUGUAAAGCUCUAUCAGCAGGGAAGAUAGUGACGGUACCUGACUAAGAAGCUCCGGCUAAAUACGUG
rnacentral:rRNA from 1 species